rnacentral:sRNA from 1 species
AUGUGGUGCCAGAGGGGAGAACUGGAGAAGUUAAAUCAGUCCACGGAUGAUAUCAACAGACGGGAGACUGAACUUGAGGAUGCUCGUCAGAAGUUCCGCUCUGUUCUGGUUGAAGCAACGGUGAAACUGGAUGAACUGGUGAAGAAAAUUGGCAAAGCUGUGGAAGACUCCAAGCCGUACUGGGAGGCACGGAGGGUGGCGAGGCAGAGAUCUGGUUCUCUUAUUUGGAACUCAUCAGAUACAUGGCAGAGGGUGUGAAGAGGUGCUGGGCCCAUGGUACAGCAGCCACCUUUCAGAAGGCCGUCAAGAGAGCAUCUUUUCUUGCUUGAAGAAAUAAGGGAUUCAUAACUGAAGCAGAGAGAACUGGGAGAAGAGAGUUUACCCUUAAAUGUUGCUGAAUUGAAAUACUAAAAAAUUCCUAAAAAAGCAAAUACAAAUCCCAUUUUAGGAUCCCGUGGGAUUCAUCCUGUCUCCUGGAGUUGGUGUGAAGCAUAUAGGCUCAGCUAGAAGCUCAGAAAGCCACGCAGGACUU